AUGUGUAUGAUUUAUAGUUUAAAUAAUAUUAAUAAUAAAAGGUGAAAUUAGAUUGUUAUUAUAUAUAAAUAGUACUUGUAAAUUUAAACUGAAGCUAGUAAUUUUUAACUAUAAACUAGGAUUAGAUACCCUAUUAUUUUAAAAUGAAUACAAACAAAACUAAAUUAGUAUUAGAUAUAUACUUUAAAAUUAAAAAAUUUGGCGGUAGUUUAAUCCUGUUAGAGGAACUUGUUUUUUAAUCGAUAAUCCACGUAUAAUCUUACUUGUCUUUGCUUACAAUAGUUUGUAUACCAUCAUUAUAAAGAAAUUCUAAAAGGAUAAAUUUCUUAGAAUAAUUUAUUAUAAAAAUUAGAUCAAGGUGCAGCUAAUAGAUAAGUUAAAAUGAGUUACAGUAAAUUGUUUUAUGACGAAUUAAAUUAAUUAAAAUUUUUAUGAAGGAGGAUUUGAUUGUAGUGUGAAUUUAAUAAGUUUGCGCGGAAUUGGCUCUAAACUAUGUACAUAUCGCCCGUCGCUUCCAUUCAUAGGU
rnacentral:rRNA from 1 species